AUUGAACGCUGGCGGCAGGCUUAACACAUGCAAGUCGAGCGAGCGGCGGACGGGUGAGUAAUGUCUGGGAAACUGCCUGAUGGAGGGGGAUAACUACUGGAAACGGUAGCUACUACCGCAUACCAUCAGAUGUGCCCAGAUGGGAUUAGCUAGGAGGUGGGGUAAGGGCUCACCUAGGCGCCGAUCCCUAGCUGGUCUGAGAGGAUGACCAUCCACACUGGAACUGAGACACGGUCCAGACGCCGACGGGAGGCAGCAGUGGGGAAUAUUGCACAAUUGGCGCAAGCCUGAUGCAGCCAUGCCGCUUGUGUGAAGAAGGCCUUCGGGUUUUAAAGCACUUUCAGCGAGGAGGCGUUACCCGCAGAAGAAGCACCGGCUAACUCCGUGCCAGCAGCCGCGGUAAUUC
rnacentral:rRNA from 1 species